UAAUAAAUAUUGUUUUGACAUCAGUGUUAGUUUUCAAGCUGGUGUUUCAAAUGAUAAUUCUCUUUUACAGCAAUCAGAAUCAAUAUUUACAACACAAAUCCAAACUAUAACUACCAGUGAACAGACAUCCUUUUAUAAGCCAUCAGUAUCCUUCUGUAUGCAAAGUGAACUUCCUCACAGUCUGAUAUAAAGACUUGACAUGUUGCUGUCAGCAGAAGAAGAGAAGCUCCAUCAGAUCAGCUUCAGUACCAACAUGUUCUCUGUAGCUCUGCUGCUGCUGCUGGCUGCUGGAUCCUGUGUGAAGUGUGAACAGUUGACUCAGCCACAAUCUGUGACUGUGCAGCCAGGUCAACGUCUCUCCAUCACCUGUCAGGUCUCUUAUUCUGUGAGCAGCUACUGGACACACUGGAUCAGACAACCUGCAGGAAAAACACUGGAAUGGAUCGGUGAUGGACGUGUUGGAGGCACUUCAGACUACAAAGAUUCACUGAAGAACAAAUUCAGUAUCAGCUCAGACUCUUCCAGCAAAACAGUGACUCUGAAUGGACAGAAUAUGCAGCCUGAAGACUCUGCUGUGUAUUACUGUGCCAGAGACACACAGUGA